rnacentral:rRNA from 1 species
CCUACGGGAGGCAGCAGUGGGGAAUAUUGCACAAUGGGGGAAACCCUGAUGCAGCGACGCCGCGUGAGUGAAGAAGUAUUUAGGUAUGUAAAGCUCUAUCAGCAGGGAAGAAAAUGACGGUACCUGAUUAAGAAGCCCCGGCUAACUACGUGCCAGCAGCCGCGGUAAUACGUAGGGGGCAAGCAUUAUCCGGAUUUACUGGGUGUAAAGGGGGCGUCGACGGAAGCACAAGUCUGGAGUGAAAUGCCGGGGCUUAACCCCGGAACUGCUGUGGAAACUGUGCAGCUAGAGUGCAGGAGAGGUAAGUGGAAUUCCUAGUGUAGCGGUGAAAUGCGUAGAUAUUAGGAGGAACACCAGUGGCGAAGGCGGCUUACUGGACUGUAACUGACGUUGAGGCUCGAAAGCGUGGGGAGCAAACAGGAUUAGAUACCCUAGUAGUC